rnacentral:rRNA from 1 species
UGAGGAAUAUUGGUCAAUGGAGGAAACUCUGAACCAGCCAAGUCGCGUGAAGGAAGAAUGUCCUAAGGAUUGUAAACUUCUUUAGCGAGCGAGUAAGGACUUCCACGUGAUGGGAGUUUGAAAGUAGCUCGAGAAUAAGUAUCGGCUAACUCCGUGCCAGCAGCCGCGGUAAUACGGAGGAUACGAGCGUUCUCCGGAUUUAUUGGGUUUAAAGGGUGCGCAGGUGGUCCUGCAAGUCAGUGGUGAAAAGCUGAGGCUCAACCUCAGCCUUGCCGUUGAAACUGCAAGACUUGAGAGUACAUGAUGUGGGCGGAAUGCGUAGUGUAGCGGUGAAAUGCAUAGAUAUUACGCAGAACUCCGAUUGCGAAGGCAGCUCACAAAGGUAUGUCUGACACUGAGGCACGAAAGCGUGGGGAGCAAACAGG